GACGAACGCUGGCGGCGUGCUUAACACAUGCAAGUCGAACGGAAAGGCCCUGCUUUUGUGGGGUGCUCGAGUGGCGAACGGGUGAGUAACACGUGAGUAACCUGCCCUUGACUUUGGGAUAACUUCAGGAAACUGGGGCUAAUACCGGAUAGGAGCUCCUGCUGCAUGGUGGGGGUUGGAAAGUUUCGGCGGUUGGGGAUGGACUCGCGGCUUAUCAGCUUGUUGGUGGGGUAGUGGCUUACCAAGGCUUUGACGGGUAGCCGGCCUGAGAGGGUGACCGGCCCCAUGGGGACUGGGAUCCGCCCCAGACCCCCCCGGGGGGCAGCGGGGGGGAAUUUUGCACAAGGGGCGGAGGCCUGAUGCAGAAACGCCGCGUGCGGGAUGACGGCCUUCGGGUUGUAAACCGCUUUCGCCUGUGACGAAGCGGGGGUGACGGGAAUGGGGAAAGAAGCACCGGCUAACUACGU
rnacentral:rRNA from 1 species